CCUACGGGUGGCAGCAGUGAGGAAUAUUGGUCAAUGGGCGGGAGCCUGAACCAGCCAAGUCGCGUGAGGGACGACGGUCCUAUGGAUUGUAAACCUCUUUUGUCGGGGAACAAAGGCGCCCACGGGUGGGCGGAUGAGUGUACCCGAAGAUAAAGCAUCGGCAAACCCCGUGCCAGCAGCCGCGGUAAUACGGAGGAUGUGUGCGUUAUCCGGAUGUAUUGGGUUAAAAGGGUGCGUAGGCGGACAGUCAAGUCAGCGGUAAAAAUGCGGUGCUAAACGCCGUACAGCCGUUGAAACUGGCAGACUAGAGUGAGCGAGAAGUAAGCGGAAUGCGUGGUGUAGCGGUGAAAUGCAUAGAUAUCACGCAGAACACCGAUUGCGAAGGCAGCAUACCGGUGCCCGACUGACGCUGAGGCACGAAAGCGUGGGUAUCGAACAGGAUUAGAUACCCGAGUAGUC
rnacentral:rRNA from 1 species